rnacentral:lncRNA from 1 species
UCUUUUUUCUUUUUUUUUUUAUGUUUAAGAUGAUGAAACAACCUCAAAUAUUUUGGCAGUUUUUUUUUUAUUAUUACUUUUUUUGGUGUGUUGAGGGGUUGUCUUUAGUUAUACAAAGCAUUAAGCUUAAGUUACCCCUUUAAGCAGAAAAGUGCCUGGUUAUCUUUAGACUUAAUAGCAUUGAAGGGGCAAAAAGGAAUGUGAACUACUCCAGGUAUGCAUUAAAAUUUGUCUUUCUUUCUUAUACAAUUGCCAGACACUGUAGCAUGUUUACCAGGUCUUCUUUCACCCUGUGGUAGUUCAUUAACAAACAAACAAACAAACAAACAAACAACCUUCCAAAGCCCUUCUGUUUCUGUCUCUUGGAAAGUAUUCUUACAAAUAAGAAUAAUUAUAACUUAAACUUGUUCAGGGAUUUGUCACAAUUUAACUAUACUUUAUCUUGAUCUUUUAAAACAAAAUUUUUAUUUUUAUUGUGUGUGAGUGUAUGCCUGUGGUGGGCCACAACAUGCUUGUGGAGGACAACCUUUAUUGCUCUCCCUAGACAAUGUGGGUCCUCAGGAUUGACUCAGGCCAUCAGACUCAAUGCUUAGCUGUAAGACAAGCUCUGUAGUCUGCUGAGCCAUCCUGCCAACCCUAGUCUUGGUUAUUAAUGUUAUCCUAAUGCAGCACACCCUAACUUGUACAUAAUUCACAAAUGAUUUUAAUUAAAUAAAACCUCACUUGGUAUCACUUGACUUUUAAGUUUGUUUUCUGUUUAUAGAAUCUGUUAACUCUCACUCCUUCCAGUUCGUCCCUCUAAGAGACCUUUUAAAAUAGAGUGUGUUUGAAGAGUAGAGGGAAAGGUUUCAGAUUGAUUCUAUGUUAGAUUCCGAGCUGAAAACAGCCUUAUGAGUUGCAGGUUGAUAUAAAAUGAUAACUAUCUACAAAGACUGAUAUUUUUGGUGUAUUUUAUAGAUGUAAUGUUUUGUAUCCUGUAACAGCUUCAUGUAUACCUACCUAUCCUUUGUGAGAGGAGUACUGUCCCACCAUUGUUUUGAGACAGUGCCUCUCACUGGCUUGUAACUGGACCAAAUAAACCAGUGAGAUUGGCCAUGGGUUCCACGUAUCUGCUUCUCCCCACCUUUGAAGGAGCAAGUUUAUAAGUGUGGACCACUAGUUCUAGCCUUUUUC